AUGACUUUGAUCUGCGUCCUCAUCUGGACUCUCCUCUGCUGCUGCUUCACAGAGUCCAGAGGUCAGGUCACAGUGACUCAGCCUGCAGCAGUGACAGCUGAUCUGGGAGGAUCUGCCAGGAUCCCCUGUAGGACCAGUCAGAAUGUUUAUAACAACAACUAUCUAGCCUGGUAUCAACAGAAAGAUGGACAAACUCCUAAGCUGCUCAUUUAUUAUGCCAGCACUCGAGAAUCAGGGACUCCAAGUCGUUUUACAGGCAGUGGAUCAUACUCUGACUUCACUCUGACCAUCAGUGGAGUUCAGGCUGAAGAUGCUGCAGUUUAUUACUGUCAGAGUGCUCACUAUAUUAGCAGCCAGUGGGUGUUCACACAGUGAAAAACAGUCGUACAAAAACCUCCCUCAGUCAGACUGAACAGAAACUGAACUGCAGCUGCAGAGACUGAUUCUGUUCAGUGAACAAACUAAAACACGCUUUCCGG